rnacentral:rRNA from 1 species
CAUAUCAAUAAGCGGAGGAAAAGAAACCAACAGGGAUUGCCCUAGUAACGGCGAGUGAAGCGGCAAAAGCUCAGAUUUUAAAUCUGGCGUCAUUUUGGCGUCCGAGUUGUAGUCUGUAGAGGAGUAUUCGAGUGUGGCUUUGGCUUAAGUUCUUUGGAACAGGGCGUCAUAGAGGGUGAGAACCCCGUUAAUGGCCUUUGUCUUAUGCUCAUGUGAAUCUCCUUCAACGAGUCGAGUUGUUUGGGAAUGCAGCUCUAAAUGGGUGGUAAACUCCAUCUAAAGCUAAAUACUGGCAAGAGACCGAUAGCGCACAAGUAGAGUGAUCGAAAGAUGAAAAGAACUCUGAACAGAGAGUUAAAUAGUACGUGAAAUUGUUGAAAGGGAAGCACUUGCGACCAGACGCACUUGCAGCUGAUCAGCCUCCAUUCUUGGGGGUGCACUCCGCUGCCUGUGGGUCAGCAUCAGUUAUAGUGGUGGGAAAAAGACUAGGGGAAUGUAGCUCCUUUCGGGGAGUGUUAGAGCCCUUUGUGUAAUGCUGCCUGCUGUGACUGAGGACCGCGCUCGGCGAGGA